UACGUAGGUGGCAAGCGUUGUCCGGAAUUAUUGGGCGUAAAGGGCGCGUAGGCGGCAUCUUAAGUCAGAUGUGAAAACCCGGGGCUUAACCCCGGUAGUGCAUUUGAAACUGGGAAGCUAGAGUGCAGGAGAGGAAAGUGGAAUUCCUAGUGUAGCGGUGAAAUGCGUAGAGAUCGGGAGGAACACCGGAGGCGAAGGCGGCCAGCUGGCCCUGACCUGACGCUGAGGCGCGAAGGCGUGGGGAGCGAACGGG
rnacentral:rRNA from 1 species